rnacentral:rRNA from 1 species
UACAGAGGUGGCAAGCGUUGUUCGGAAUUACUGGGCGUAAAGGGCGCGUAGGCGUUGCUCUAAGUCGGAUGUGAAAACUCUGGGCUCAACCCAGAGCCUGCAUCCGAAACUGGAGUGCUAGAGUUCUGGAGGGGGUAGCGGAAUUCCUGGUGUAGCGGUGAAAUGCGUAGAUAUCAGGAGGAACACCGGUGGCGAAGGCGGCUACCUGGACAGAAACUGACGCUGAGGCGCGAAAGCUAGGGGAGCAAACAGG